rnacentral:rRNA from 1 species
CAGUAGCCACGGGAAUACGGAGGGUGCAAGCGUUAUCCGGAUUUAUUGGGUUUAAAGGGUCCGUAGGCGGAUCUGUAAGUCAGUGGUGAAAGCCCAUCGCUCAACGGUGGAACGGCCAUUGAUACUGCAGGACUUGAAUUAUUGGGAAGUAACUAGAAUAUGUAGUGUAGCGGUGAAAUGCUUAGAGAUUACAUGGAAUACCAAUUGCGAAGGCAGGUUACUACCAAUUGAUUGACGCUGAUGGACGAAAGCGUGGGUAGCGAACAGGAUUAGAUACCCGUGUAGUCCCUGUCUCUUAUAA